rnacentral:rRNA from 1 species
UACGAAGGUCCCAAGCGUUAUCCGGAUUUAUUGGGUUUAAAGGGUGCGUAGGCGGGCUAUUAAGUCAGUGGUGAAAGCCCCAAGCUUAACUUGGGAACUGCCAUUGAUACUGAUGGUCUUGAGUACAUUUGAGGUGGGCGGAAUGUGUCAUGUAGCGGUGAAAUGCAUUGAGAUCGGAAAGAACACCAACGGCGAAAGCACUCUGCUGGGCCGACACUGACACUGAGAGACGAAAGCUAGGGGAGCAAAUGGG